GGUUAUGGCUCAGCGGUAGAGCGCUUGCCUCGCACAUGCAAGAUCCUGGAUUUGAUCCUCAGCACCA
rnacentral:tRNA from 1 species